rnacentral:rRNA from 1 species
UACGGGGGGGGCAAGCGUUGUUCGGAAUUACUGGGCGUAAAGGGCUCGUAGGUGGCCAACUAAGUCAUACGUGAAAUCCCUCGGCUUAACCGGGGAACUGCGUCUGAUACUGGAUGGCUUGAGAUUGGGAGAGGGAUGCGGAAUUCCAGGUGUAGCGGUGAAAUGCGUAGAUAUCUGGAGGAACACCCGUGGCGAAGGCGGGUCUCUGGGCCGAUACUGACGCUGAGACGCGAAAGCGUGGGGAGCGAACAGG